CCUCAAGUCAGAGCAUUUGGUAGCACCUACCCACUAUGGAGUGGCUUCACUUUUACCUCCUGCUCCUUGUUUUCUCCACAGUGAGGAUGGAUUCAGACGUUUCAGGCUUGUGAGUUCCUCCUUUGGAAGAGCUGGGAGAUGGACUUCAGAAAGAGACACUCUUUCCCCAUCUCUUUAACACAACCUGAAACAGGCCCUGUAGCAUUUGAGGAAGUGAAUCAACAAUUCUCCAUUUAAGUGGACCCACAGCAGACAGCCAGGAUCACCUAUGGGGACAACAGCAUUGGCAGCUCUGCUGUGAAUUGGUUUCAGCACGAAUGAGACCAGACCCAAAGAUGAUCAUCUAUGGUGAUAGUGUAACAUGACUUCAUGCUUUGAAUAUAUCCCUUGAUGCUCUUCCUGUGCAUUAAAAAAAAAAAA